GAAUGAUGGCAUUGGAUACAGUCUGAAGGACUUAACUGAGUUGGGAAUUCGCUGCGACCUCCAACAUGCCGUCCAAGCCUGCCCCGAUCAAGAAGGCGGCCAAGAAAGAACCAGCCAAGAAGGAGGAAGAAAAAGCUCCAGAGCCGGCUCCUGAACCCGCCCCAGAGCCUGCUCCUGCCGAGGCUCCCCCAGCCGAGGCCGCCCCAGCAGAAGGAGAAGCGCCUGCUGAGGGUGCUGCCCCUGCAGAGGGGGAAGCCCCUGCUGAAGCUCCCGCACCAGAGCCUAAACCACCCACUCCUCCACCUACUCCACCCAAAGAGCCCACAAGCGUGCCUCUGGAUCUGUUUGUUGAAGACAAAAAUGACACUUCAGUGACCAUUAUUUGGAGCAAGCCUGAGAACAUCGGUGCCGCUGGUCUGGACGGAUACGUCAUUGAAAUUUGCAAGGACGGAACUGAGGACUGGAAAGCAGUUAACGAGGACCUGCAGAAGUCCUGUCGCUAUGUUAUCAAGAACCUGACCACUGGUGACCGCCUGAAGAUCCGUGUGGUGGCCGUAAACGAAGGAGGCCGCAGCCCCCCAGUCGCUCUCCCUGAGCCCGUAAUGGUGAAGGAGGUUGCCAAUCGUCCUAAGGUCCGUUUGCCUCGGUUCCUCAGGCAGAGAUACGUCGCUCAAGUUAAGGAAAAGGUCAACCUAACCAUCCCUUUCACAGGCAACCCCAAACCUGUUGUGUCCUGGACAAAGAAUGGUGGGCCACUGGACCCAAAGAGAGUGAACAUCCGCAACACAGAAAGAGACAGCAUUCUGUUCAUCCGUGCAGCCGAGAGAGAUGAUUCUGGAGUGUAUGAGAUAUGCGUGAAGGUGGAUGACUUUGAAGACAGGGCCUCACUGACCCUUCAGAUUGUUGAGCUGCCAGGGCCUCCUGCCAGUGUGAAGAUUGUGGAUACCUGGGGCUUCAAUGUUGCUCUGGAGUGGACUCCACCCAAAGACAAGGGAAACACUGAGAUCACAGGAUAUACAGUCCAAAAGGCUGACAAAAAGACUGGAGACUGGUUCACUGUGUUGGAGCAUUACCACAGAUUGAAUGCCACCAUCUCUGACCUCAUCAUGGGCAACACCUACAAGUUCAGAGUAUUUUCUGAGAACAAGUGUGGAAUGAGCGACUCUGCUGCUGUUACGAAGGAAGAGGCCAAGAUCUCAAAGACAGGUAUUGACUAUAAGCCUCUUGAAUAUAAGGAGCACGACUUCAACGAAGCACCCAAGUUCACUACGUCUCUGACAGACAGAGCCACAACCGUUGGCUACAACACCAAGCUGCUAUGCUCCGUCAGGGGAUUCCCUAAGCCCAAAGUUGAAUGGAUGAAGAACCAGAUGAUUAUCGGAGAUGACCCCAAGUUCAGGCAGAUCUGUGUCCAGGGCAUCUGUUCUCUGGAGAUCCGGAAACCUGGCAACUUUGAUGGUGGUGUUUACUCCUGCAGAGCCAAGAACGAUCAUGGAGAAGCAAUUGUCAGCUGCAAGCUGGAUGUCAAACAGCCAGUGCUUCCAGAUGGAGACAAGAAAUAGAUUCACAUCUUCACUAACACAGGAGCAGAAGGUACAAGGUCUUUGCUGUUUAAGGAUCAGUUGGAUUUCUGGAAGUACACAUCUCUAUGGCUGGUGAUUCCACUGUUAACAUGUUUUACCCUGUGACGUCUUACCGACUUUAAGCAUCUGUUAAGAUGAACAAUUUCUGUCAUCACUUCAUGCCUAGAACUACAAUAACAAGUCCAUAUCCAUGUCCACAAUUUAUUUUUUCCCAACAAUAUUGUCAGUGAUAACCUUCACAUUAUGAGAUAUUCUUUAACUUGUCAGUCUUACUCAAAAGGUUUUACGGUUCCUCAUAGGAGAACUACAUGUAACAUCUAUAUGUUUAUAUCAAUAAACAAUUUAAUUUCUGGUUUUA